rnacentral:rRNA from 1 species
AUUGAACGCUGGCGGCAUGCCUAACACAUGCAAGUCGAACGGCAGCACAGCAGUAGCAAUACUGUGGGUGGCGAGUGGCGGACGGGUGAGUAAUGCAUCGGGACCUACCCAGACGUGGGGGAUAACGUAGGGAAACUUACGCUAAUACCGCAUACGUCCUACGGGAGAAAGCAGGGGAUCUUCGGACCUUGCGCGGUUGGACGGACCGAUGUGCGAUUAGCUAGUUGGUAAGGUAAUGGCUUACCAAGGCGACGAUCGCUAGCUGGUCUGAGAGGAUGAUCAGCCACACUGGAACUGAGACACGGUCCAGACUCCUACGGGAGGCAGCAGUGGGGAAUAUUGGACAAUGGGCGCAAGCCUGAUCCAGCAAUGCCGCGUGGAUGAUGAAGGCCCUAGGGUUGUAAAGUCCUUUUAUCAGGAACGAAAUACCACGGGCUAAUACCCCAUGGGGCUGACGGUACCUGAGGAAUAAGCACCGGCUAACUUCGUG